rnacentral:lncRNA from 1 species
ACCAGUAUCGAUUAUCCAAGUGCUCUUGGUGUAUGUGUAAGCAGAACAUGCUAGGCUACUACCUGAGAAGGAUGAUGCUGAAGGCAUUGUUGGAGAUUGAGUUGAUGUGACUUGCAGGUCCCCAACAUGGUUUACAAAACUAGUGGUAAUUGGAGUGGUGGUAGUGGUGACAGGUGAAGGCAUGAAAGCUUCAAGUUGAGGCCUCAGCAUUGAGAUGAUCUGUUGACAUUGAUCUGGGGUGAUAUUAAUGUUGCUGAGGCUGCUUAGAGUUUCAGAACUGUUUGAUGCAACAACUUGGUGAGCUGAUGCAUUUUCAGGGAACCUCUUAGCUAGACGAUGUCCUGGAGGAUAUCCAUUGAGUUUGUAGCACUUAUCCCUUUUGUGACCAGUGAGGCCACAGUAACUACAGAUAGGCCUGUCCUUCCUUUGUCCAGAAUUGCUGCUACUUGUGUUUUUAAUGAGAUGUUGCUGAUUACCAAAACAGUGGCUAGCAGACUCCACCUUUUGGUGUAGAGAUGUCACCUGCCUUUGCUUUUCUUCUUGAGAAACUAGAGCAAAGACACGACUCAGAGAGAGAAUUGGAUCCAUGAGAAGGAUUUGGCUUCUAACAGCAGUGUAGGAAUCGUCUAAUCCCAUCAGAAAUUGUAUCACCUGAUCAUCAGAGUGAUGGGGAUUAUGGUGUUGUGGUCUGUAAUGAGCCAAUUCUUCCCAGAGUCCCUUCAAUCUGUUGAAUUAGGAGCCAAGGGAUCCAUUGUUCUGUGAAAUUGAAAAAAUCAAUUUCUACAGCUGGUAAAUGCGAGGGCCAUUGCUUUGAUUGUAUCUAUCAUACAGUUCAAGCCAGAUGUCUCGUGCUGAAUCUUUAUGCAUGACACUGGGAUAGAGUUCCUUGGGGAUUUAGUUGAUUAUCCAUGCAGACACCAUGUGAUUACACCUUCUCCAUGGGACAUAUAAUGGAUCACUGGGAUCUGGCUUAGAGAUUGAGCCAUCAAUGAAACCUUCUUUAUUUUUAACACUUAAGGCCAUAGUUACUGCUCUACUCCAGGUGGAGUAGUUUUCAUCAGAGAGGACGACAGAGAUGAGCUGGGCACCAGUGUUCUCGCCAUAGUAGAAAUAGUAUGGGCUGUUAGGAUCAUCAACGACUCGAAAAUUCAUCUGCCCAUGAAUGGCAGGACCACCGGCAGGAUUCUCUGAGCUGGAGAUGGGAUGUUGAACAUCUCCCGGAAUUUUAGAACCUGCGUGAAUCUCCGAGGCGGCUUGAUGAUUGGUAGCCAUGAUUGGUAGAGAGAGCUAGAUAUGCUCUGAUACCAUAACAAAAUCUGAAAAACCAGAAUUGCUGAAGCAAGAGAAUACGUGAUGGUAAAUUUUCUCUUCACAAUCUGAUCAAUCUUUACAAGUGUAUAUAUAGGGUGUAGCUCUAACUAACUAACAAAAUUAAAGCUGUACAGGGGAAACAGAAAGAAUAAAAUGCUAACAAAUCUGCCAUGUCAGCAGCUAUACAACAGAAAGGAAUCUAAAUUAUAUUCAACACUAAGUUUUUACCUACGGUUGCUAGAUGUUAUUCCACUUAGAGACCACCACAAAGGAGAGGCAAAACCACCAAGAGAGUCACCACAAAGGGACCGUGGAAAGAGGCAGAGAGAACUGGCAGAAGAGAAAUGCGAAGAAUGCUUAAGAAGGAGACAGGUCUUGUAGAGGCCAUGUAUUUCACAAGAAUAUAUAGGUAGACCAUUGCCCAAUAAAGUCAGUCCAUUAGGUUUAGUUAACGGGUUAUGGGUCCAAUAGAAAUUAUAAUGGUUCAUAGAAUGAACUUCUAGUAACACUACCCAUCCAAGUAGGUGGAUAAUCGGCCUAUCAGCAAUACAACCUAAUUGGUUGCUUCAAAUUGUCCAAUCACUUCUUGGGUCGUGUCAUUCUAGUUUUGGUGUUGAUAUAUCGCUCAAUCAUACUGUCAAUGUAGACUGAUAAUUAUAAUUGGGUCUACAUCAUCGUUUGGGAGGUCGUUUGACAAAUUCAAAUUUCUAUUAUGCUUUAUUUUUCAUACAGUGAAAAAGAUAUUGCAAGAGAAGUUAAUCAUACAUGCUUAGUAGUUGCGGUUAAGCCUACCAGAGGGUUAGCCGCAACUGCUAUGUUAAAUGCUGCUCACAAGUCACUUCUUCAUUUUUCGUGCCAAAUAACAAAGGUAACUAAGUUUUUGGCAUCCCUAACCUAUUACUAAAUUUACCCAACCCACUUUGGGGUUCAUUGAUUUGUCUCUCUAGUACAGUCAUUAGAUGGAAUUUUUCUAAUUGAAACAUAGUAACAUGAAAACGCAUAUUGUAUCAGUUGAACUUUUCAAAUGCAUUUCUUUGUGUUUGUAAAAAUUAUUUGUUGGUAGACUGAUUAUGGGAAAAGAAAAGUUAAAUAAGGCAACAUAUAAUGAACUAUAGCUCCCAUCAAAACAGUUCUGAAAUCCAAUAUUUGAUACAUUGAACUUGUGUUCGAGCAUAUAAAAACCAUUUUUACUCAUCUACAAAUUUGAUUCAAAUACUAGAUAAUAAUAUCUAAGGAUUUACUAAAUUCUGCAUAUGGUACCAUACUUCUGUGGAUUAACUGAGUUUUUAUAAAUUUUUACCUCUUAACAUUUGAUGCUUGCUUCUAAUCCUUUCUAUCUUUUACAGAGUACAAAGUUUGAAUAUGCACGAAUACAUUUUUUCGCACACAAAUUAUCUGAAAUUCUCGAAGUCUUCACUUUCACAUUUCCUCUUCUAGCUAUAUUUCCCAUACAGCCGGAUGAAUCUAAUGUGUGAUUUGUUGUUCAUCAAUGGAGUGCCAUCAGAAUCAGUUGACAAUCUUUUGCCCUUAUACUCUGGCAUUCUUCAUCUCUUAAUCUUUGUCGUUUGAUGUCUGGAUGUAUAUUGGUAUUGUAAAGGUUGCACUUCCUCGGAUAAAAAUUCAGCCACUUUGGUCCAUUCACGCUCAUCAAUAAAGGAAAGUUAUUGACAAUUCGAAGAUUAUUGUUGGAUUACAUACUUUUCGAGAUUUUGUUACAAGAUGUUACUAUAUCUCAUUGUGUUAAGUAUUGAUGACAAAUGCUCCUCUUUCUUGAUAACAAAUUUUCACCAUUUGUUAAAAAGUUUGUCAAUAUGGCACUUUCUUUGAUUCAUUAAAAUUGUUAGCUAUCCAUAUUUGGUUGUGAAAUUUUUU